rnacentral:rRNA from 1 species
UACGAAGGGGGCUAGCGUUGUUCGGAAUUACUGGGCGUAAAGCGUAUGUAGGCGGAUCGUUAAGUCGGGGGUGAAAUCCCGAGGCUCAACCUCGGAACUGCCUUCAAUACUGGCGAUCUUCGAGUCCGGGAGAGGUGAGUGGAACUCCGAGUGUAGAGGUGAAAUUCGUAGAUAUUCGGAAGAACACCAGUGGCGAAGGCGGCUCACUGGCCCGGUACUGACGCUGAAAUACGAAAGCGUGGGGAGCAAACAGG